rnacentral:rRNA from 1 species
CAGUCACAGUUCGGAUUGAAGGCUGAAAUUCGCCUUCAUGAAGCCGGAAUUGCUAGUAAUGGCAGGUCAGCAUACUGCCGUGAAUACGUUCCCGGGCCUUGUACACACCGCCCGUCACACCAUGAGAGUUGGGGAUACCCGAAGUCGGUAGCCUAACCGUAAGGAGGGCGCCGCCGAAGGUGGGAUUGAUGACUGGGGUGAAGUCGUAACAAGGUAAC